rnacentral:rRNA from 1 species
GACGAACGCUGGCGGCGUGCUUAACACAUGCAAGUCGUACGGUAAGGCCCUUUCGGGGGUACACGAGUGGCGAACGGGUGAGUAACACGUGAGUAACCUGCCCACAACUUUGGGAUAACGCUAGGAAACUGGUGCUAAUACUGGAUAUGUGCUCCUGCUGCAUGGUGGGGGUUGGAAAGCUCCGGCGGUUGUGGAUGGACUCGCGGCCUAUCAGCUUGUUGGUGGGGUAGUGGCCUACCAAGGCGGCGACGGGUAGCCGGCCUGAGAGGGUGACCGGCCACAUUGGGACUGAGAUACGGCCCAGACUCCGACGGGAGGCAGAAGGGGGGAAGAUUGCACAAUGGGCGCAAGCCUGAUGCAGCAACGCCGCGGGCGGGAUGACGGCCUUCGGGUUGUAAAACGCUUUCAGCAGGGACGAAGCUUUUUGUGACGGUACCUGCAGAAGAAGCACCGGCUAACUACGUG